rnacentral:misc_RNA from 1 species
AGUCCCCACCCAGACAUGGCUGAAUGAACAUUGUAUCAAAAAGAAUGAGAACAUCUUACAUGAUCCAAAACACCAAAAAAAAAGUGAAAUUUUGGUUAGGUAUAUGGCCUUGCUAAAACAAGGUAUGGACGUAUGGUGAAAUAUCAAAAAUUUUGUAGUGAAUAUCAGAUUUUUAUAUUUUGAAUUUCUUUUUGCAGGAAGGGACAGCUUAGGAGAUCUUACUAUGAUGAACAAGCAUACUUCACGCAUGGAAAGAUCAGAAGUUACAUGGGCACUUAGCAUGAAAAGUUUAUGAAGUUUCACAAUAUAUUAAGGAAAUCAAUUAAAUAGGUGUAUAGGGAAUUUGGUGUUUCUCUUGGAACUGAGGCUGCGUAUAUGAGAUUUUGCUAUCAUAUGGAGAUAGAAUACCAAACAUCAUCCUGACAUGCUUAAAAAAAUUCCAUCUAUCUAUUGAACUAAAUAUCUUCACUAUUCUUAUCUUAAACUAUUACCUGAAGAAGAUAAGUGAGCUUUGA